rnacentral:misc_RNA from 1 species
GAAGUGCGAUAAGUAAUGUGAAUUGCAGAAUUCAGUGAAUCAUCGAAUCUUUGAACGCAGCUUGCGCUCCUUGGUAUUCCUUGGAGCAUGCCUGUUUGAGUAUCAUGAAAUCUUCAAAGUAAAUCUUUUGUUAACUCAAUUGGUUUCUACUUUGGUAUUGGAGGUCUUUGCAGCUUCACACCUGCUCCUCUUUGUUCAUUAGCUGGAUCUCAGUGUUAUGCUUGGUUCCACUCGGCGUGAUAAGUUAUCUAUCGCUGAGGACACUGUAAAAGGUGGCCAAGGUAAAUGCAGAUGAACCGCUUCUAAUAGUCCAUUGACUUGGACAAUACUUUUAUGAUCUGAUCUCAAAUCAGGUAGGACUACCCGCUGAACUUAAGC